rnacentral:rRNA from 1 species
CAGCAGCCGCGGUAAUACGUAGGGUGCGAGCGUUAAUCGGAUUUACUGGGCGUAAAGCGUGCGCAGGCGGCCCGUUAAGACAGGUGUGAAAUCCCUGGGCUCAACCUAGGAAUUGCGCUUGUGACUGGCGGGCUCGAGUACGGUAGAGGGGGGUGGAAUUCCUGGUGUAGCAGUGAAAUGCGUAGAGAUCAGGAGGAACACCGAUGGCGAAGGCAGCCCCCUGGGCCUGUACUGACGCUCAUGCACGAAAGCGUGGGGAGCAAACAGGAUUAGAUACCCUGGUAGUCCACGCCCGAAACGAUGGGUACUAGCCGUUUGGUGCGCGAUAGCGCUGAGUGGCGAAGCUAACGCGUGAAGUACCCCGCCUGGGGAGUACGGCCGCAAGGUUGAAACUUAAAGGAAUUGGCGGG